CAUGAAAAAAUUUAUAUGUUUUAUUUGUGCAACGUGUAUGUGGCCGUUUCUUUCUGUUUUUUUGCUGUUUGCUGUUGUACGGAGGACUAAGCUAGCAUUCAAAAUUUAAAAAUCAAAUGUACAUUCCUAAGAUGCACUUUUUUACACCUCUAUGUAGCGGUACUUUUUUAGUAUUUGACCAUUAGCUCCGAUGAUGACGUUUAUGUCGAAAGCGCUCAGCUAAGGAAAUAAAAUUAUUUACACACUUUGA